AUGGUCUAUUUAUUGCUCAAAGGGCGGGCUGCAACCGCUUUAGUUAUUAAUUCAGAUAACAUGGAGGUUAUCGAAACCAUGAACAAUGGAGGACAGUCAUCUAGUACAGUGGCGGCAGUGUUUGACGAUUGUUAUUUUUUAGCAUGUGACUUUCCCAUUACUAAAUUUGAGCAUUGUAAUAGAGAAGCAAAUAGGGUCGCACAUGAACUUGCUAAGUUAGCUAGAUUUUCUUCAUCUUUGAACUGGUUUGAGAGCCCUUGA
rnacentral:rRNA from 1 species